CCUACGGGUGGCAGCAGUCGAGAAUCAUUCACAAUGGGGGAAACCCUGAUGGUGCGACGCCGCGUGGGGGAAUGAAGGUCUUCGGAUUGUAAACCCCUGUCAUGUGGGAGCAAAUGAAAAAGAUAGUACCACAAGAGGAAGAGACGGCUAACUCUGUGCCAGCAGCCGCGGUAAUACAGAGGUCUCAAGCGUUGUUCGGAAUCACUGGGCGUAAGGCGUGCGUAGGCUGUUUCGUAAGUCGUGUGUGAAAGGCGCGGGCUCAACCCGCGGACGGCACAUGAUACUGCGAGACUAGAGUAAUGGAGGGGGAACCGGAAUUCUCGGUGUAGCAGUGAAAUGCGUAGAUAUCGAGAGGAACACUCGUGGCGAAGGCGGGUUCCUGGACAUUAACUGACGCUGAGGCACGAAGGCCAGGGGAGCGAAAGGGAUUAGAUACCCUGGUAGUC
rnacentral:rRNA from 1 species